rnacentral:rRNA from 1 species
UUAAGUGAAUAAGGGCGCACGGAGGAUGCCUUGGCACUAGGAGUCGAAGAAGGACGCGACAAACGGCGAAACGCCUCGGGGAGCUGUAAGUGAGCAUUGAUCCGGGGGUAUCCGAAUGGGGAAACCCGCUAGUGGUUAUACGCUAGCACCAUAUGGUGAAUACAUAGCCAUAUAGGAGACAGACCCAGGGAACUGAAACAUCUAAGUACCUGGAGGAAAAGAAAGAAAAAUCGAUUCCCGUAGUAGCGGCGAGCGAAGUGGGAAGAGCCCAAACCGGAUUUAUCCGGGGUUGUAGGACCUUCAUAAUUGACAAAUCAUGAUAGCCGAAUGGUCUGGGAAGGCCAACCGUAGGGGGUGAGAGUCCCGUAGGUGAAAUUGUGAGAUGCAUGGAAGGAAUCCUGAGUACGGCGGGACACGUGGAAUCCCGUCGGAAUCAACGAGGACCAUCUCGUAAGGCUAAAUACUACCUAGUGACCGAUAGUGAACCAGUACCGUGAGGGAAAGGUGAAAAGAACCCCGGAAGGGGAGUGAAAGAGAACCUGAAACCGUGUGCCUACAAAUAGUCAGAGCCCGUUAAUGGGUGAUGGCGUGCCUUUUGUAGAAUGAACCGGCGAGUUACGAUAUCGUGCGAGGUUAAGCAGAAGAUGCGGAGCCGUAGCGAAAGCGAGUCUGAAUAGGGCGAAGAGUACGAUGUUGUAGACCCGAAACCGUGUGAGCUAGCCAUGAGCAGGCUGAAGGUCAGGUAACACUGACUGGAGGGCCGAACCAGGGCACGUUGAAAAGUGCUUGGAUGACUUGUGGCUAGGGGUGAAAUUCCAAUCGAACACGGAUAUAGCUGGUUCUCUCCGAAAUAGCUUUAGGGCUAGCCUCGAUGUUAAGUCUACUGGAGGUAGAGCACUGAAUGGGUGAUGGCCCCACCUCGGGGUACUGAUCUCAAUCAAACUCCGAAUGCCAGAUAGAUAUAAUCGGGAGUCAGACUGUGGGUGAUAAGGUCCAUGGUCAAAAGGGAAAGAGCCCAGACCGCCAGCUAAGGCCCCCAAGUGUCCGUUAAGUGGAAAAGGAUGUGGAGAUGCACAGACAACUAGGAGGUUGGCUUAGAAGCAGCCAUCCUUUAAAGAGUGCGUAAUAGCUCACUAGUCGAGUGACUCUGCGCCGAAAAUGUACCGGGGCUAAACGGACCGCCGAAGCUGCGGAUUGACUUUAGAGUCAGUGGUAGGAGAGCGUUCUAACAGCGGUGAAGCAGUACCGGAAGGAGCUGUGGAGCGGUUAGAAGUGAGAAUGCCGGUGUGAGUAGCGAAAGAUAGGUGAGAAUCCUAUCCAUCGAAAGCCUAAGGUUUCCAGGGGAAGGCUCGUCCGCCCUGGGUAAGUCGGGACCUAAGGUGAGGCCGAAAGGCGUAGCCGAUGGACAACAGGUUGAUAUUCCUGUACCACUUAUUAAACUGAUGGAGUGACGGAGAAGGCUAAGUUGAGCGUGUGAUUGGAUUCACGUGUAAGCAGUGAGGUGGUCAUGUAGGCAAAUCCGCAUGGCAUAACAUUGAGCUGUGAUGCCGAAGCCGAAUGGCGAAGUCAACUGACGUCACGCUUCCAAGAAAAGCUUCUAGGGUUAAUUUAAUAAGUGCCCGUACCGAUAACCGACACAGGUAGGCGAGGAGAGAAUCCUAAGAUGAGCGAGAGAACUCUUGUUAAGGAACUCGGCAAAAUGACCCCGUAACUUCGGGAGAAGGGGUGCUUGUGAAAGCAAGCCGCAGUGAAUAGGCCCAGGCGACUGUUUAUCAAAAACACAGGUCUCUGCUAAACCGCAAGGUGAUGUAUAGGGGCUGACGCCUGCCCGGUGCUGGAAGGUUAAGAGGAGAGGUUAGCGCAAGCGAAGCUUUGAAUUGAAGCCCCAGUAAACGGCGGCCGUAACUAUAACGGUCCUAAGGUAGCGAAAUUCCUUGUCGGGUAAGUUCCGACCCGCACGAAAGGCGUAAC